rnacentral:rRNA from 1 species
CACGGGGGUUGGAGGGCAAGUCUGGUGCCAGCAGCCGCGGUAAUUCCAGCUCCAAUAGCGUAUAUUAAAGUUGUUGCAGUUAAAAAGCUCGUAGUUGAAUUUCGGGAUUGACACAUCGGUCGUGCCUUAAGGGGUAUGAACUGGUGUAGUCAAUUUCUCACCUUCUGGAGAACCGCGAUGCCCUUAAUUGGGUGUCGCGGGGAACCAGGACCUUUACUUUGAAAAAAUUAGAGUGUUUAAAGCAGGCAUUUUGCUUGAAUACAUUAGCAUGGAAUAAUAAAAUAGGACGGCAUGAUUCUAUUUUGUUGGUUUCUAGGAUCACCGUAAUGAUUAAUAGGGAUAGUUGGGGGCAUUAGUAUUCAAUUGUCAGAGGUGAAAUUCUUGGAUUUAUUGAAGACUAACUACUGCGAAAGCAUUUGCCAAGGAUGUUUUCAUUAAUCAAGAACGAAAGUUAGGGGAUCGAAGACGAUCAGAUACCGUCGUAGUCUAACCAUAAACUAUGCCGAC